rnacentral:rRNA from 1 species
GACGGAGGGUGCUAGCGUUGUUCGGAAUCACUGGGCGUAAAGGGCGCGUAGGCGGCUUCAGGUGUCGGAUGUGAAAGCCCGGGGCUCAACCCCUGAGGUGCAUCCGAAACUCUGGGGCUGGAGGCCGGAAGAGGAGGGUGGAAUACCCAGUGUAGAGGUGAAAUUCGUAGAUAUUGGGUGGAACACCGGUGGCGAAAGCGGCUCCCGGGUCCGGUCCUGACGCUGAGGCGCGAAAGCGUGGGGAGCAAACAGG